rnacentral:rRNA from 1 species
AUACGCGUGUGUGAAGAAGGCCUGAGGGUUGUAAAGCACUUUCAAUAGGAAGGAAUACCUAUCGGCUAAUACCCGGUAGACUGACAUUACCUAUACAAGAAGCACCGGCUAACUCCGUGCCAGCAGCCGCGGUAAUACGGAGGGUGCAAGCGUUAAUCGGAAUUACUGGGCGUAAAGCGUGCGUAGGCGGUUAUUUAAGUCAGAUGUGAAAGCCCUGGGCUUAACCUGGGAACUGCAUUUGAUACUGGGUAACUAGAGUUUAGUAGGGGGGAGUGGAAUUUCAGGUGUAGCGGUGAAAUGCGUAGAGAUCUGAAGGAACACCAGUGGCGAAGGCGGCUCCCUGGACUAAAACUGACGCUGAGGUACGAAAGCGUGGGUAGCAAACAGGAUUAGAUACCCUGGUAGUCCACGCCGUAAACGAUGUCAACUAACUGUUGGGUUCUUUAAGAACUUAGUAGUGGAGCUAACGUAUUAAGUUGACCGCCUGGGGAGUACGGCCGCAAGGCUAAAACUCAAAUGAAUUGACGGGGGCCCGCACAAGCGGUGGAGCAUGUGGUUUAAUU